AUUGAACGCUAGCUGCAGGCCUAACACCUGCAAGUCGAACGAGUGGCGGACGGGUGAGUAAUGUCUGGGAAACUGCCUGAUGGAGGUGGAUAACUACUUGCAACGGUAGCUAAUCCCGCAUAACAUCAGCUGUGCCCCGAUGGGAUUAGCUAGUUGGUGGGGUAACGGCUCACCAAGGCGACGAUCCCUAGCUGGUCUGCGAGGAUGCCCAGCCACACUGGAACUGAGACACGGACCAGACUCCUACGGGAGGCAGCAGUGGGGAAUAUUGCACAAUGGGCGCAAGCCUGAUGCAGCCAUGACGCGUGUAUGAAGAAGGCCUUCGGGUUGUAAAGUACUUUCAGCGGGGAGGCGUUACCCGCAGAAGAAGCACCGGCUAACUCCGUGCCAGCAGCCGCGGUAAUUC
rnacentral:rRNA from 1 species